UGAAGUGCAGCAUCAUGCUUAAGUUGUGCCAUUGCUUCAUUCUAUAUUAUUUUGCCUUUCGCAUUAUGUUUUAGUCGUCAUGUAUUCAAAUUCAAGAGUUACGUUAUUUUAAUCAGUCAUUUCCUUUGUUUAAAUCUACAUCAUGGUGGGUUUUUAAUCAGUAUAAGUAUGAUAAAGAUAACUACAAAAAGUACAAGAAUAUAGAAUCAAUGUUUAAAACAGUAUCCGGACGCUUGCCUAGGUGAGGCAAGGCCUAAGCGCCUCGCAUAGUUACUAGGUGACGCGCUUCAGUGAACCGUUGAUAGGGCGCUUGCCUGAACCCAGGUGUUGAGCACCUCGGGCAAGCGCCUGGUUGAAGGCGAGCAAUCGAACCAGAUGGUCAAACUUGGUUGAAUAGUGACUUAUUUGGUUCAAUCGUACCAACUAAGCAUAGUAAAUAGUAAUAGUAACUCCCCUACCCAUUAACACUAGGUACUUUGCCGCUUUUGUCCCACCGUUGCCUUUGUCGCUGACGCACAGGCUUGAUGCUUCCUCUACUAUCGAUGGACAGGUCCGAAGCUCUCACUACUAUAGCUUUCGUGUGAAGUUCCCUCCACUAUCAUUGCUUUUGUGUGCAACUCCUUUCACCAUCGAGGGAUAGGACCGUAACUUCCUCCACCAUCAUUGAUGUCGUCCUGUCACAGACAAAUAUAUUGUAAACACAAGACGUUCGAUGUAAUGCUUGUAUAUUUUCGUAUCUUUCGGUUUUAUUUAUGUUUUGUACAGUAUGUAGAGGGCUUACAGUAGGCUUGAUAGCCCUAUUUUGGUUGUCUUUUGUGGUCAUUUUAGUCUUCUAAAUCCAGGUUAUGUUCAGUCGUUGCGCAAAGACAAAACUGUCCAGAAACAAAUCAUCCAAGCAACCAUUUUGGGGGGUUUUCUAGCUCCGUAGAGUGGUGCGGAGUGUCAGCCAACACAGUAUGCAGGAGCUAGCGGGGUGGCACAUGGUUGGAUGGGCCUUUAGGUCCUGAAGGAACCAUAAAAUGUUUCAGGGAGGCUAACCCUUUGUGGAUGGACACGCAAUGGUGCCACAUGAUUGAGGCACAACCAGCUAAGUUUGUGACGGAUGGUAUUAGAGUGGGAGAAAGAAGCACACUUAAAAACACUUGGUAUGCAAACGUAAGAGACCUAACAAAGCUACAUUGGGGGUAGCUAGCAUGAAGAACGUUUGGAUAGUUGAGUUUAAGCUAUGAAUCGAUGUUAGCAACUAAACUUGAUGGUGCUUAAGGCAAGUAGGACGUUUGGCAAAGGAUGAGAUAGUGCAAGGAGGGAUGGGUUACUUGGCAACCGAAAGAGUUGUACAAAGCUCAUAGAGGUAAAGAGGAAUUGUUAACUCAAAGAAUUCGGUACUCAUGCGAGAGCUUGUAUGCGAACAACGGACUGUUCGUGACCAUCACAAGGCGAUCAAAAUUUGGUGCCAUGAAGCAUGAAAACUCUCUUCAGCAUGGGAAGGAUACAUUCAUAUGAGGCUGAAGUAUAUGGUAGGUUUAACUUGUUGCUAGGCUUUGAGGGGCACAAUAGGGGCUGUAUUGACGAAGAGUCGUAAUCUAGCAAGUACGUUUACGGUGGCGAAAUAGCACACAGUUUGUUCAGUAAGGCAGAGUAGUCUAAGGGGAUGAUGGUCUUCAAAACUUUAGAGAGAAUGAUGCAAAGAGAAAAGUUACUCCAACGGGAUAGAUAUCUAGGUGGGAUAAGUCUUGUUCUUCCGAAAGAGAAUCAUGUGCAGCGAACCGCACAUGUUGUGGGGGUACCUUAAGACGACAACUCUAUAAAGCUUAAUGGAUUGAGCAAGCAGUGAUGAGUCAUUGCAUGAUCUCGCAUGAGGUAAUGCAUUGGUGGACGUAUUACGAGAUUAAGUAGGGGAGCAGCCUUAGAGAACACCAAACGAAGGCACAUUUAAAGCCGAUAUAAAGAUUGGACUCAAUGGAGGGUUGACUUGUCAUAUAGUGGGCGCGAGGGCCACCAUUAACUCAAUGCAUACUAAGGAGCAAAGCAAUAUGGGUGGAACUUAGUGAAGUGCCCAAGCCACAUGAAGGGAGUCGACAUAGAAGAUGAAACAUAGAGUGGAGGCGCAGAGCUUUUCUUGGAUAGAAGCCAAGGACAUGAACUCUUGUAGAGGCAAGAGCGAGAUUAUGUCAUUCCAUGGGUCCCUCAUUCUGAUGGAGCAGACUCAUCUUGCAUGGUGCCAAUGUCAGAGGGAGCUUCGAGGCACACACACUUUAUCUUGAUGAAACAAUUGAUGGAGGAACUAAGACAACUCAACUUGCGGAGGCGAAGUUGAGGUUAGAAGGGCUUGUCAUGAUGUAAGAGGAUGCAGAGAUAGGUACUCAUGAAGAAUAUGUCACAGUGUUGCUAUUUGAGUUGCCGCAAAGGAAAUUGUGCAUAGUGAAGAUUGUGCUAGGGGCAGGGGUCGAGGAUCCAGAUAAUGACAUACCAAUUUCAGCAAAGUCGAUGGACUUCGAGAGCUACUAGGCAACGAACUAUCCUAGAGUUGUGCUUCGUCCAUGUGUAACUCGAGAGCGGAUAGAUAAAGGUCGAUUGCCAAAGGAGCGAAUACAAUCGGAGGUGGCGAAAGCCCUGCGAUUGCUGGCAAAGGCCAUAUCUAGAGAGAUCGCAGUCCGAAUUUAUCCCACAAAGAUCAAAAUGCAAUAGAGAUAUUACCAGGAGGCGACAUAGUGCAACGGAUUGUGGUAAAACAAUUCAAGACAGUGUGACACGCACAUGGGAGAAGUCCCGUGAGGGACUUGAUCAUACAGAGGUAUAUCGGAGCGGCUAGAGAGUUAGACUAUUCUAGAGCUUAUAUUCGCUUGAGGGAGACCAACAAGUUAGAAGACAAACUCGAGUGAGUGAACGUUGCUACCAAGGACACAAGGAAGAUUAUAAUCAGCGCAAGCCCUGCAACAUGAUGAUAGAGGCUAUGUAUGAGAGUUAUAGUCUUUCUUUCUAUCAACCAAGGGAAACUACUUGGAGAACACAAAGGUGUUAAAGUAGGGGGUCAAAAGGGGCAAGAAAGCAAUGAUGAGUCUAGAGGGACUUAGCUACCCAAAACCAAGAAUUGAUUUGGAUGGAGGUAGACUCAGAGGAGUGCCAUAGUGCCGUAGAGGUGAACCUAAUGAUCGUAAAGAAAGGACGCAGAUGUGAGGCGAUAGAUAAUAGGGUCAUGGGUAUGGUAGUACCCUGGUACUAUAGAGGCAAAACUUCCAUAGCAUCAGCGAUCCCUUGCUCUCAUGGAGGGAGAGUGCAUGGUCGUAAAAGGAGACCGAAGAGGUGGAGAAUGCAAAGGUAAAUUCUAAGUAUCUAGAUAAUGUUAAAGGGUACAGGCUAGGGAAUUUCGUAAGACUGAUGUCUACAGGCUUCUCAUCAAGAUAGCCAAAAGUGGAGGACUUUUGGUCGAUGUAGGAGUGCUUAACCAAAGAACGGAGUAGGUAGUAUGAAGUGCUAUACCUUUUCUACUCAGAGGAGUAGGCGACAAAAAUGAUAGAGAAGAUGGUAUAAUCAUAGAAGCGGCUAAAAUUAUUAGAUAUUUGUUCCAAGUCAGCAAAAUUUUGUUCUUUUCGGGCAAAACUUUUUGCAUUUCAUAAGUUCGAUAACAAUGAUGAGGCGAAUCGCAGUAGCUAACUCAACGCAAGGAGUGUAAACACUUCGGGUGCUUCAGAAGUGUGAGCAAAGAGUAGACAAAUGCUAGUAAUCAACUUGAUGCAUGAAGUACAACUCUCGAGGAGGUGAGCGAAGUUAAAGAACCUUUGCCUUCUUAACUCUUAAGAGAAUGGGUAAAAUUGAAUACCUCAGUUCUCUUAUUUAUCCAAUAGAGGAGUUCUACACAUAUUCAAAGAUCCUUCCAAGAAACUUAGUGGGAAAUAAUAAUUGUUAAAUCUUCACCAAUUGUGAUCAAUUUUACUGAGAGUAGAUUGGCUAUCUCAUUUUCCAACAUAGUGUCAAUUAAAAGUAGAAGUAAUGUAAACCUAUUUGGAGGUGACAACUAAGUAAAAGUGGAAUUGAUGGGUAAAUUUUACGAAGGAAAGACCUUAAAAACUUCAAAAUCUACAAGGUGAUGUUUGUUAAGGCUCAAAUAGGUAUCCACCCAAUUUAAGCAAAAUGACGUUUGAGAGACUAGUGCAAAAUAAAGAAGAUCUUUUUCUUCAUUCGAAGGAUUCACAGGAACCAAGAUUGAUUAAGAUAAUUCGAUCGACCCUACACUAUAGUCAAAGUAAUUGGCAAGUUGAAACAACAUUGACGGAUCAAAGUUCGAUUACUAACAAUAGCGAUGGAGAGUAGUUGUGAGUCAAGAGGUACAUUGCAACUAGAGUAAAAGAUUGAAGAUUCAACAAAGGUGAGGAGAUGCAACGUUCGUAAAGGCUUCGACGAAGACGUCGAAAGAAUAAGUGGGGGAGAAUGUCAUGGACAGAUACGUAAAUAGGGUGUUCGAUGUAAUGUUUGUGUAUGUUUGUGUCUUUCAGUUUUGUUCAUAUUUUGCACAACAUAUAGAAGGCUUGCAGUAGGCUUGGUAGCCCUAUUUUGGUUAGCUUUUAUGGUCAUUUCAAUCUUGUAAACAUAGGUUGUGUGUAGUCGUUGUGCAGAGGUAAAACUGUCUAAAAAUAGGCUAUCCAGGCAACCAUUUCUGGGGUUCUCUAGCUCCGUAGGGUAGUGUAGAGUAUCAGCCACUCAGGAGCUACUCGGGUGGCAUAUGGCUAGAUGGGCGUUUAGGGUAGUGUCUAGGGUUGGUUCGUUUGUCUUGUUCCAUAGUAGUGUCAUGUGGGCACUUAUAGAGACUUUUGACUAUGAUGGAUCACCAUAAACCCUUUGUUACGUAAUUAUUCAGAGCUUGCAAAGUCUAUGUUUGUAAUUUACAUUGACUAUCAAGUGUUUAUUAAAAUGACUGCUUGUUGGAUUCCGAGUUAAACGCUUCCUCUAACUUGUCUUCUUUUUUGCAGGUCCUUAGGCGACUGUAAGAGGUUUUAGGGAGGCUAACUAUUUGCAGACGAAUACGCAAUGGUGCCACAUGACUUAGGCAAAAUCAACUAAAUCUAUGAUAGUCUGUAGCUUUGUCUACCGCUAUCGUCCUCUCCUACCUCACGUUCAACCAUCUGUGACUCCUUUUCUCCCCCUCUACUAUUAUGAUUACUAUUAAUAAUGGAUUAAAUACUAUUAACAAUUGAAUGUUAAUCCUAAACUAAUAUUAAAACUACUAUUAUCAUAUAAUAAACUAAAAUUGAUAUUAACCCUUAGAACUAUUGACCUAUUUCGAACUAAUUCUUAAUUAGAAUUGUUAUUAGUCUCUAUUUAGCAAUGUUAAUCUCUAUUUAUUUAGAAUUUUAUCAGGGUUUCAGGAUUAAUGGUAAGUGUACAAAUUAAUGCAGAAGAUUCAUCAAAAAUUUUAAUUUAAUAUUAUAUUUUUAUUUAUUUAAUUAUAUUUAUCAUUGAUAUUAUAUAUUUUUUAAUAUUUUAAUAUUUUAGAGUGUCUUGCUUCGCUCGAGUAGGCACCUAGGUGAGCGCCUAAUGCCUCGGACAUUUUGGAACCUUGACGCUUAGCAUUUUUAAAAAUACUGUAUAGAAUAAUGGCUCAAUAGUCACUUGACCUGACUCAAUUUAUACUCAAAUUUGCAACUUCAUACAUUUAGAGGAAUAAUGUUUUAUCAUUCCUUCAGCAUAUUUAGGUAUCAUGAUAUAUUGGUAUUGGGAUCACUAAUUAUCAGCUUCUUCUUCAGGUUCCAAAAGCUUCAGAAAAGCUGCCAAGAAAACCUUGUAUGAUACUGAAAUCAUGCUGGCAGCUUCAUCCUCUCACACCAACAAGCAAAUUCUGAGCUAACAAUUGAGAAGAAGGGGAAUUAGAACCCGAAGAAGUCAGCUGACUGAUAAGGGGAGAGAAGAUGAGUCUGCUCCAUUGCAAGCCAUGCA